rnacentral:lncRNA from 1 species
CACAUAUAAACAGAAGUUGGCCAAACAAAGGAUGAUAAUAGAUAACUUCAUACAUUAAGUACAACAAAAUAAGAGGUUACGAGAGUCAAGUACAUUCAUUCAUUACAAUGAUCAAGUCAUAAUAUAUAUCUAUGAGCAUAAGGCUCUCAUAUAAGCAACUACUAAAAUAAAAUACAACAACUAAAUAGUAUGUAACCUAAAACUACUAAUACAAAAU